rnacentral:rRNA from 1 species
GUACAGGGUGAUAGUCCCGUACACCAAAAUGCACAGGCUGUGAACUCGAAGAGUAGGGCGGGACACGUGGUAUCCUGUCUGAAUAUGGGGGGACCAUCCUCCAAGGCUAAAUACUCCUGACUGACCGAUAGUGAACCAGUACCGUGAGGGAAAGGCGAAAAGAACCCCGGCGAGGGGAGUGAAAAAGAACCUGAAACCGUGUACGUACAAGCAGUGGGAGCACCUUCGGGUGUGACUGCGUACCUUUUGUAUAAUGGGUCAGCGACUUAUAUUCUGUAGCAAGGUUAACCGUAUAGGGGAGCCGCAGGGAAACCGAGUCUUAACUGGGCGUUAAGUUGCAGGGUAUAGACCCGAAACCCGGUGAUCUAGCCAUGGGCAGGUUGAAGGUUGGGUAACACUAACUGGAGGACCGAACCGACUAAUGUUGAAAAAUUAGCGGAUGACUUGUGGCUGGGGGUGAAAGGCCAAUCAAACCGGGAGAUAGCUGGUUCUCCCCGAAAGCU